GCAGCUGCUAGAAGGUUCCCUCCUGAUGUUUGCUCUCCCAGUAAAGUGGUUUUGAGUAAUAACUUCUAGAUUCUUCCUGGAUGGCCAGGGAGGCUCUCUAUUUCAGCAGGUGAUGGUGAGGGGACCAGGGUGCCUCUGAGCCCCAUUCUCGUUUCCCUAUUGUACCUUCUGCCUGUAGGGCAGAGAGAUCUGGUUUCUAGAAAAUUCCCAGUAGGAUGUCAUGUAAGUUCCUCCCUCUCCUUUUAGAGAUUGAAGACUGUAAAAGUCCAGAUGCUGGAGCCAGGCUGGCACCUACCACGGGGACAGUGACCUGCAGCUGGAACACAUCAAUCUGUACUACAACAAGGCUAGCAGUGGCAGGUGCAUGGCCCAUGCUGUGCUCGUGGAUCUGGAGCCAGGCACCAUGGACUCUCUGCGCUCAGGGCCCUUUGGGCAGAUCUUCAGGCCAGACAACUUCAUCUUUGGUCAGUGUGGGGCCCGGAACAACUGGGCCAAGGGGUACUACACAGAAGGCACGGAGCUGUUGGAGUCGGUGAUGGAUGUGAGAAAAUAAGCUGAGAGCUGUGACUGCUGCAGGGUUUCCAGCUGACCCACCCCCUGGGUGGGGGGACUGGGUCUGGGAUGGGUACCCUUCUCAUGGGCAAAAUUCACGAGGAGUACCCAGACAGGAUCAUAAACACAUUCAGCAUCCUGCCCUCGCCCAAGGUGUCAGACACCGUGGUGGAGCCCUACAAUACCACCCUCUCUGUCCACCAGCUAAUAGAAAAUGCAGACGAGACGUUCUGCAUCGAUAAUGAAGCCCUCUAUAACAUCUGUUCCAGGACCUUAAAACUGACCACACCCACCUACGGUGACCUGAAUCACCUGGUGUCUGCUACCCUCAGUGGGGUCACCACGUGCCUGUGCUCCCCGGGCCAGCUGAAUGCCGACCUGCGGAAGCUGGCCAUGAACAUGGUUCCAUUUCCCUGGCUGCACUUCAUGCCCGGCUUUGCCCCGCUGACCAGUCGGGGCAGCCAGCAAUACCGGGCCCUGACCAUGGCUGAGCUCACUCAGCAACUCUUCGAUGCUAAGAACAUGAUGGCCGCCUGUGAUCCCCAUCAUGGCCACUACCUAACCGUGGCUGCCAUUUUCAGAGGUCGCAUGUCCACAAGAGAGGUGAAUGAGCAAAUGUUCAACAUUCAGAAUAAGAACAGCAGCUACUUUGCUGAAUGGGUCCCUCACAACGUGAAAACAGCCGUCUGUGACAUCCCACUCCAGGGGCUAAAAAUGUCGGCCACCUUCAUUGGUGACAACACAGCGAUCCAAGAGCUCUUUAAACAUGUCUCAAACAGUUUACAGCUAUGUUCAGGCGCAAGGCCUUCCUGCACUGGUACACAGGCAAGGGCAUGGAUGAGAUGGAGUUCACCGAGGCCAAGAGCAACGUUAAUGACCUGGUGUCAGAAUACCAGCAAUACCAGGAUGCCAUAGCUGAGGAGGAGUUUGAGGAGUGUGCUGAGGAGUAGGUAGCCUAGAAGCCUCCUUUUCUAGGUAAAGGGGGAAGCAGUGUGGAUUCUUUAGUGUGUUCUGAUAGCCAUUGUCACUAUGCACUUCUUUGAGUCUUUACAUCUCCUCCUGCUGCAUUUUAAAGCAUUUUCAUAGUAAAUAGUUUGACCUAAUAAAACACUUUCAUAGCAAACAAAAAGAAGAAGAAGAAGAAUAUAAAUCUGAUUGCACAAUUCAAUAGCUCCCAUUACAGUUAAAAUAAAACCCAAGCGUCUCACUGUAGCCUAUGAGAACUAUGUGAUUAAACCCUUGUCUGCCCCAUCUCCUACCACUUUUUUAUUUUUCACUGUGCUCCAUCUCCCAUUUUUUGCUCAUUCAGCAUGCCAACCUUGUUCUCACUUGCUGUUGCCCUUGCGUGGGUGGCCUAGGACAAAUGAUUUUCUUCCUAAAUAUUUGUGAAAUCCAUUCACUUUUUACCACCUCUGUGCUCACAGUCCUAGUACAAGCUCCCAUUGUCACUUACCCAGACUGCCCUAGCAACUUCCUCACUGGUUUCUGCAUGUUAACUUGGCUAUCCAGUCAGGGCGAUAUUUUUUAAGUGCAUAUUUUAUUGUGUUUAGCCCUUUGUGGAACCCUAGAACUAACUAUAUUCUAGGAGCUGAACAUACAGCCCUGGCCUUGUAGAGUUUAUGUUUUAUUGGAACGACAGAGACAGCAGAGAAAGAUGCAUCCAAGAAGUCAGAUUCAAAUCCACUGACUGAAUUACUUAAGUGUCUUACUAAAGUGGUCCUACUAAGGAACAUGGUUGGUGCGGGAGAGGUGGACAAAGACUUGGAAGUUGAAACCAAAAAAGAAUGUGACAAGUAUGGCAAAGUUGGGAAAUGUGUGAUGUUUGAAAUUCUCAUGCCCCUGAUAAUGAAGCAGUAUGGAUAUUUUUAGAAUUUGAGAGAGUUAUAUCAGCAAUUCAAGUGGUUGUUGACUUGAAUGGGAGGUAUUUUGGUGGACAGGUGGCAAAUGCAUGUUUCUACGAUUUGGACAAAUUUAUGGUCUCGGUUUGGCAGAACAAGUUUGAUUUUAAGAACUAGAGCGGGCCAGGUGCAGUGGCUCAAGCCUGUAAUCCCAGCACUUUGGGAGGCCGAGGCGGGCGGAUCACAAGGUCAAGAGAUUGAGACCAUCCUGGUCAACGUGGUGAGACCCCGUCUCUACUAAAAAUACAAAAAAUUAGCUGGGCAUGGUGGUGCGUGCCUGUAAUCCCAGCUACUCAGGAGGCUGAGGCAGGAGAAUUGCCUGAACCCAGGAGGCGGAGGUUGCGGUCAGCCGAGAUCGCGCCAUUGCACUCCAGCCUGGGUAACAAGAGCAAGACUCUGUCUCAAAAAAAAAAAAAGAACUAGAGCACAAGUCAUCUCCGGUGAUUCUUAAAUGAACUGUAGGCUGAGAAAAGAAGGAAAAAGGUCACAGCCUCCAUGGCUGUUACAUACUGAGACUCUUGGAAGGACUUCUAAGAUAUAUAUUGAUUGGUCCUUUUUUUAUUUUGUGGUUUUUAAAAAUAUAUUAUAAAAAUUUUUUAAAGAAAAUGUUACAGGUAAGGUUGGAGAGAUAUGAGGCAGUAAUAAGAGAUAAAGAGCAGUGGAUUUGGCAUAUAUUCUAGAGGCAGAACUAACAGAGAUUGCUGGUGAUUGGUGAUGGAAAGGUAGAAAUUAAGGAUGAUACCUAGGUUUUUUCCUUGACCACCAAAUAAAUGGUAGUCUUACACAUUGAAAUAGAGAAGAGUAGGGAAGGGGCAGGUUUGUUAGUGGAGAGAAAUCAAGUUUUUUUGAUGGGGGUAAGGCGGAUGGCUGGAGCAGGUUAAAUUGACUGUAUCUAGUAGAUCACCAAGUAUCAAGCAGGUAGAUGAUUGUGAGUCUAGAACUCAAGUGAAGGUCGGGGCUGUAGAUACAAAAUGGAAAAUCAUCGCAUACAGAUAGAGAUUAAAGUCUAGGAACUGAAUAAAGUCACCUAUAGAGAAAAGGAGAAGUGAAGAGGAGAGAGGUCAAGUCCUAUAGCACAUUUAAUAAGAUCAGGCAAUAUCCUUACCAAAAAAAUAUGGUAUCUCAGAAGAAGAAAUGAGAGACUGGUGAAAAAAAAAUAAAGAAUUAGGUCAUGGGACAAAUGCUGCUCUGAAUAGAAUAAAAAGACAGGGACUGGCCUCAGAAUUUGUCAAAAUGAAAAUUGUUGAGAACUUACAAGACUGUAUUCAACCGAUUGGUAGAAAUAAAAACCUAAAGGUUUAAAAAGAAAAAUAAGGGAGGGAAAAGAGUAGAUACAGACCUCAUUUUCAAGGAGCUUUGCUAUAAAGGGGAACAUAAAAAAGGCAGUUGACAGCAAAAAUUGAGAACAAGGGGUUAAAAAAUUGGUUUCAAGUUUGGAGUCCUUAUAGCAUAUUGUUUAUGUUAAUGAGUAUAAUCCAUGAAAAAGGAUAAAACUGAAGACACAGGAUAAUGAAAUCAUAAUUUCAGAAUCUAAAUCUUUGUGUUGGCAAGAUGGGUUGGAACUUGAAGUAGGGUGAUUAGUCUUAGGAACAGGGACAAUUCUAUUGUGAUCCUAGUGAAGGUGCAGCACAUGGUCUCAUCAGGCUAUAGACUUGGUAUUGAGAAGGUGAAGUAAGAAAUCAGGCCAUCAGUUUAGAGAAGAUGAAAUAAAAAAUGGUUGUGAGGAGAAAGAGAAAGUUAAAAUACUAGGAAAAUAUAGUAAGAUUGGGCAGCAUUAAAUGCCUGCUAGAAAUUUAUCAUCAUAAAUGUAAUGUAAAAUCUGUCUCCAAUUAUGUGUUUUUCUCUAACAACAUUCAGGAGCUUGAAUAGUGGCACAACGUAGCUGGAGAGUUGAGUGUAGUUUUUGGGAUUUUGACAAGAAAAUAUGACAGAGUAGCAAGGAGCAUAGGAAUUAUGGGUAUGAUUAAAGUGAUGGAGGCUGGAAUCUGAGCCAAGCAAAGAAGGAUAUGAGCAUAUUGGGAGUGGUAGUGCUAUAGUAAAAAGUGGUAGGGUCAAUAAAUUGGAGGUCUGAAUGAAAUAUACACAUUUUAGAGGAAGGGAGCUAGAAUAAGUAGGCUUUACAAUUAGAAGAUGGUAGUUAGCAAAUCUGCACUUAAAAUCAGAAUUUUGGAAGUAAUGUGGUUAUUGGUGAUGACAAGGCCAAACAGCAUUUCUAAAAUUUUUUAAAAUGGACAUAGUAAUAUGAUGUUUAAUGCAACUCAAUAUGCACAAUACCUAUAUGAUAUGUAAUUGAAAAAACUAUGAAAUAAUAUUUACCUGAUUUCAUUCAAUAAACUUUACCAUUUUAAAAUCUAUUCUAUCUUACUUAAAAGGAAAAAAAUUGGUUAUAACUGGUUAUAAAUUGAUUUUUAUUAUUACUAAUGGAUCAAACUUUGCAUUCUGAAAACACAGCUCUAGUGACCAUAGGAAUGAUUGGUGUGGGGUGGAGGAAAGUGUUGUUGGUAUUGUAGAAUUCAGACACCUAAGAGUCCACAGUGUCAGAUGGAUUAUCUACCUAGAUGUGAAAGCCAUCAGGGAUGAUGACAGGAGUAAUGGCAUGGAGGAGAACUAUGAAAGUGGUGGUGUAGUCUGGUAGUGCUUUGUGCCUCUAAGAGACGGGAGAUUUUAAAGAGCUAGAGAAGUCACAUUACCUCCAGGUCCUAGAAUGUGGGUGGGAAAGAAAAAGCAACUUUCAUUUUGAAGUACCCAGAAAAAGAUGCAGACUUAGAGUCCUGUCUUCACUGUGAGGAAAAAGUCAACAGAAAAAAUUGUGGACAUGGAGGGGUUUUGUUACUGAGAGAUUCUGAUUUCCAUAGGGUCUAGGGAAAGGCUUUGGGAGGUCAGAGAUGAGUUAAAUGAAAAUGACUUGGGAGACUUAGACUGAAAUUAAAUGUGGGUCUGAUUAGUUUUGAUGGUAACACAAGGAAAAGGGGGUAGUGGCCCAUAUUAGCCUUCUUCACAGGCUUGGUUUCUGAGCUAGUUUGUAGAAGUGAGAUGGUAGUGUGUUAGUGAAGGAAGAAGAGCCUCCCUGGGAGCAAGGUAGUGCCAGCAACUGCCCUUCAAAUCUGAGGUAACCAACAUGGCAACAGGAGGGAAAAUUGGGGCUGUGAGGAAAGGCAAUGUGACUGAGCCCCGUGAACUCACCAUGCAGCAGGACCUGUACACAUAUCUCAUCCUGUUCCUGGAAACUAACUAGCUGUUUGUCUUCUCUUUGAUUUCUGCACAAGUCUCAUAGCUUUAGGAAAACCUUCCCUGACUCCACUGGCCUCCCUGAUCCAGUUCUUAUAGCACUUGUACCUCAUCUUUAUCUCAUAAGUCACAGCUGCAGUUUUAUAUCUAUCUGUGGGAUUGUUUUGUUAAGUUUGACUCCUUUGCUAGACUAGCCUCUAUGCAAAGGGACUGUACCUCUUUUUGUUUACUAUUGUAUCUCAAGCACAGUAUUUAGUAUAUAAUAGGUGCACACAAAGUUAAAUUUGUUGAAUUAAUAGGAUCAGAGUUAGCAGAUAUUGAAGACAAAAAAAACGAAGGAAACUAAAGAGGACCAACAGGAGGUACUGUUGAAGUUAAAGUUGCAAGGAGCAUUUCUUGUUCCAACUACUAAGUCUCCUUUUGAAGGUCUACAGCUCAAUCCUCAUGGACAUGACCCAACUGAUCUUGAAGGGACAAUACUAUGAACCUUCUGUCUGAAAGCAAAGAACUAUUUAAAGACUACAUUAAUAAUAACAGUAAUCACAAGAGGGAUAUGAGAUGGAAAUUUAGGGGGAACAAGAAGUCUAAAGCAACUUCAAAGGGAACUCCUUUAAGAACCUAGUUCUAACUAAGGAAAUAACAAUUGUUACAGUUCUUCAAGGACUGAGGGACAGGAUAGAUCCAGGGGAUAAAAGGUACACUUGGGUUGUGGGUGGAGUAGGAGGAGAGGGGGAUAGGAGUGACAUCACAGCAUUUUUGAAGCAGGGAAACAACUGGCUCUAUAUGGAGUCAAUUCAGGAACUAGGGCACUUUGAAGAGUGCGGCCAUGGCCAAAGACAGUUUUGGAAAAAGGGCUGAGUUAGUCAAAGUUGGAGCAAACCAUUGAACUGGCUGAGAGGUGAAACUCUCUCCCUACUGAAUAGGACUUAGAGCCUAGAGAUUGGAAUGCCAAUGGUUUUAUGGUAACUGUGCCCCUUAUGCUAACAAAUGUCACCCAAGAUAAAUAAGACAAUAGUACAGAGUUAGCUAAUCUUGGAAAAGUCAUAACAAAGUUGAAGAAUCACCACUAGGGAAGAUUUCAUUCUGUUUCCAUUUGAAUUCUCCACCAGUCAGGAACACCAUUACAUUCCUUUCACACCCAUUACCUCUGUGCGUUUACAGUGCAUCCUCUUCCUUUGUCUUGUUAAGACCUGAAUUUCAGAAGUGAUUUUCCCCCUUGCUAGAUCAUCAUUCAAUAGCAGAAUAGGACACCCCUGAGCAAUCACUGAGUUUCGUCUUUCUGUCGCAAAGGAAUUCAGUGACUCACCUCGAGCAACUACACUAACUCUCUCAGGCCAAGAGGGCACUGGUCAGCAUUUUGGAGGAAGUAAUUUACUAAAUGAUGCCCUUGUGGCCAAAAAGACUCAACACACAUAAAAGGAGAAACCGUAGAUCACUUCUCCUGCUCAGAGUGUUGGAAACAAUUAGGAUUAAUUAUGUGUUUUUGUGUGGAAGUGGUGAUACGAAUUUCAGUGGCAUACAGGAAAAGGAGAUAAGCCUAUUUUUUAAAGAAAAUAGUUCCGGUUUAGGUCCAUUUUAGCUGCACAGUAUCAUUAUGAGAUAUGAGAAAGAGAUAACUAAAUUAUUCAUAUUAUAAUUUUAUUUGUGCUCUAUUCUUUAUUUUUCCUGGAAAAUGUCCCUAUUUGUUAUUAAAACUAGCAUAUUUUAUAAAGAGAUUUAUGUUAAUUACACAGAAAGCUGCCUUAGAAUAGCAAAUUCUAUAGUGAAUUUCAGAGUUUUUAAAAUGUGUGAUCUCUGUGCUGUAGGAUAUUUCUUGCUAAUGGUUCAUGCCAUCUAUAUAUCUAGUGAUCUUUGAACCUUAUGUUCAUUAUUAUGGUUAUAGCUAUACCCAAAUGGCAGCAUAUUAUUAAAAUAUGAGAUAAUGAUUGAAGAAACUAGAUAUAAGUAUGCUUGUAAAGGAAAACAAACCUUCUAGGAGUAAGUUUUUAGAAGGCAAAAUAAUACCUUUAAAAUGUUAUACUCAAAGUAAACAUAUUACGACAGAUGAGAAAUGCCAGAUUUUCAGUCAAAGAGGGGGAGAAACUGAAGUGAGUAUCAAAAGCCAUCUCAAAAAAGUUGCUCACUUUUAAAAAAAACUACAUUUUUUUAAAAGUAGUAAGUUUCCCAGCAUUUUUAAUAUGAAUUUUCUGUUAUUCAAAUGAAUAAAUAUAACAUUAUUUUCAUUUUGGUACUUUCUAAAGUCCUGAUCCUACCAAUACGUGAAUCAUCACUAACUUUGCAGUAUUGACUUUUAGCCCUGUAGGCCGACUUCUGUGUCAAGAAGGCCAGAAGCCUGAAAAAAAUAAUAAAGACUUAUCCCAGUCACCAGUUGAACAAAUUCUGUUAUCAUAUUAGUCCUGAACAUUUAGGGGGAAAAAUAAUAUCAAAUAUUAUCAUACCAAGGUACAGAAAUAUCAGUCUCACAACAGAGACCCAGACGUGGAGGGCUAAUGUUAAGCUAGAUAGAUGUCUUGCAGACUAACCAAGAGUAGAUCAGACUGAAUUUCUCUUUAGAAGAAGAUAUAGUUUUUAUUGGUUAGGACCAGGUAGACAAUUUACAUUUGUGGUAUGUUGUUAAUGUAAUAAUAACUUAAUAACAUUAUCAGGUGUCUGCAGCAGGUUUACUUUGGGUAUAGCUAUAAAGAUUAUAUUUUUAGCAUGGUAACCUUUUUCCUAAAUACUUCUCAUCAAAAAAAUAUGAGAAUGCUUUUUGAGAUUACACAAACAUUUAGAUAUUUGUAUUGAUAAAUUUUUUACACAACUUCUCCUUUUAGGGCUCAGUUUUAAAAGCUCUCCUGAGAAAUGAGGCAAAAGCAUUUAUAUGAGGAAGCAAGAAGGCUGGAAAUGAAUUAAGUGUAAGAGGAAUGGAGUGUCAGUAACUCAGGUCAGAAAAAAAAAGUGAGCAAAGAGAAUGGAACAAAAUAGCAAAAGAAAAGACCAGUGUGUGAAAUUUCCAGUGUGUGAAACUGGAAAUAAAUAAGUGAGGACUAUCUCAGAAAGGAAGAAAAAUAAGACCCAGAAAAAAAAAUGUAUAUAUCUGAAGAAGGUACCUACCUGACAAUAUAAUUUCCAUUAAUCUCUACCCACAUACUCUUCUUCACAUCUUUCUAGUCAUUCAUAAGCAGACAAAGUCGAACUAUUUGCCUUAAGCCCUGAGAUAUCACAUCAUCUUUUGUAGCUAGAUGCUGGAAGUAAAUCCUGGAAAUUGGGAGGAGGUGAGAACAUUAAGAGAUUAUGAGAAAAUUUAAGCCAUUUUUCUUCUAAGUUAGUGUUCAUCUUCAUAAGAAUAUCUUAUCCAAAUGAGUAGAAAAUAUGAAAGAAGAGCCAAAAAUUAACAAAUAACAGGUCUCUAUAAAGACAACUUAGGAGUGCGACGCUGUGGAGUUUUGCCAAAACAUAAAAAUCUGCAGGUUAGGAUGUUUGUCACUUUUGGUUUAUGUGAGGCUUUUUAUGUCAGCAUGUAUAAUCUCAAGUAAUUAAUUAUAAUAGAUUUUAGGAGGUAAAAUAAAUAAUUUAACCUAUCCCAUUCUCGUAUAGUUUCCAAGGAUUCCCAAGGUAAAUCAAAUGUGUCUAAAAGAAACAAUGUCCACCAUGUAAGUUACUCACAGACAAUAAGAGAAGUUGCUUAUCUAGGCUCCAAAACCAUUAGCCAUCCCUUGUAAUUUACCUGGAUUGCUAACCAAUGUUUAAUGUAUUUUUUCUACUUAUUGUUGGUUUUCAGCUCAUAGACAUGUAGGUUUUUAUUUUAAAUAACUAUCAAAUUGUGAAACUUAACAAAAAAAUGGCAGUGGGUGAUUUUUCUGUAAUCCUCCUGCAUUAACUUCAUUGAGUCUUAGGUUAAUUUUUGGCUAAUGGUUUUGGAGCCUAGGUAAGCAACUUUCCUUAUUGCUGUAAGUGACAUGGUGGAUAUUGUUUCUUUCAGGCAUAUUUUACUUGUGUUGGAAGUCGUUAAUGUUAACUAUAUGAGAAUGUGAUAGGUUUAAUUAUUUAUUUUGGCUUCUAAAAUAUAUUAUAAUUAGUUACUUGAGAUUAUAUGUGCUGACCAAAAAAAAGUAUCAUACAAACCAAAAGUGAUAAACUUUCUAACCUAGUAACAAACAACUAUGGCAUGCACAAAGGGUGGAUGCUUUAAGUGGCAGAGGGAGGGACGGAAGUGGGUAAUUAUUUGUAGCAAUGCUUUUACUGUUGUUUGAAAUGAGACAGACUAACAGUGGCAGCAGUCAUUUUGCUGAAUCAAAGUCCAUGUUAGUCGCAUUAUACACUGCCACAAAAGGUUGUUAAGGCUGGUAUUAGCAUGUACCACUGAGGACAUUGGAAGGACUCGAUCUGUCACACUAAAUCGCCUUCUUGCCCUCAACCAUUGAAGUCUCCAGCUCCUCUGACAUGUUCUUUCAUUAAUGGCCUGGCCUUGACAACUGAUCCUAAUUGCCUCUGAACCGCACUUCAUGUAUUAUUGGUGUCUGCCUGCCCUGGUUCAUGUCAACAAGCCACAGCAUGUGCAGGGUGUGCCCAGUGCCUUUGCAGAAAUGAUGUUCACAUCGUCAUAUUCCUCUGAGGGGACUGGGUCUCAUUGGGAGUAAAGUAGAAAGCUAAAGAUCUUCCUGUCUCUUCUUUGUAAUACCUUAAUGUUGAUUUGUGCUGUGUACAUAUUAAGCUUAUCUAAGGACUCACUAAAACAUUAAACCAAUUAUGCAACACUGCAUUAAGGCACAGAUGUAAAUGCUGACUUAAAUUUGCCCUUGUUUUAGUAAGUGCUAAAAUGUGAGUUCAUUGCAAAACCUUUUCAACUUUAGUUAGUAUGGUUUACAUUCCUUUUCAAAUUUAGUGUGGUUUACUUUUACUUUGAUUAUGCAUAACAAUUUCAAUUUGAUGUAUGAUAAUGGCCAAAAGAGCCUACAAUAUAGUUUCCAGGUAGAAAUGUGCAUUAGACCAGAACUCCCAAAAGUAAAUUAUUGAAGGUUUGAAUAGGAUAUUUUAGUCUUAACGUUUAUCAGCCGAUUUAUAUUUACUACAUUUUCUAAAAGUAGCUAAAAUAAUCAAUUUUAAUGCAUUACAUGUAUUUUAAACCUUUAUUUUGUUCUGACAUUUCAGGAAACAUUCAUAAAGGACAAAACAGUUUAGAUACAUUUUAAUUUAUAAGAUGAGUUAUUUACUUACAGCAAAAUACUUUAGAUCUAAAAUGUAACAUUAGAAAUGCUCAAGAUAUUUACCU